rnacentral:lncRNA from 1 species
UGGAAGACAGCCCUUGAGAACUACAGGAGGCAGGUGAGUCAAAGUGGAAACACAGCGGUUUCUGCCAUCCAUAAGCUCUCCGUGCACACACCAGGAAAGAAGUAUUACAGAACAGGUUACAGCAAUGAAGAAGGGCAGCUGGUGAGAUUAUGAUGACAGCUGGUGGCUCUGUGUGAUGGAUGGCUUGGGAAAUGACAAGACCUGGACAAGAAGAGCAGUCAGCAGAUUGUACCAGCAUUUUGGGCAAGUGGCUCAGAGAACCAAGAAGAGUUGGGUGCUAGGUGUAGCGAGGUGAACUAAGACCGUGCUUUGGGGGGUGACUGCAGUAGGCUGAAGAUUGGGCUGUGAGAAAGGUGAGGACAGUUACCUAGCAUUACUGGAAUAUUGUUUAUCAAACACCCUCUCCUCCACCUUCCCUGCCCACAGAGAUGCC